CCUCUUCAUUCCUGGCAACGUACUGCAUUGUUCGCUUUUGGACAUGGAUCGUUUUCUGCCUCUUGGCUACAAAGGUUGAAACCCUCCUCUCCCUGACCACCCCUCUUUAUCGCCUUUCCCCCCCAACCCCCUGAAAAAAACCAAACCAAACCAAAAAAAAAAAAAACAAAACAACCCCCUGAAAAAAACCAAAAAAAAAAAAAAAAAAAAAAAAAAAAAAAAAAAAAAAAAAAAAAAGCAAAACCAAAAAAAAAAACCUCGGAAGACUGAAUCAGUACAAGUUGCAUCACUGGUAGGACUGACAGUUGUAUAAACAUUAGUGUUCCUUGCAGCUACACAGAAGACAAAUGGUAAAAAAGUUCGAGAUGAACAGAUUCCCUAUUCAGCAUAUUCAUAAAUUACUUGAAUGUGGAGGUGGAUCAUUUCGUCAAAAGCUGCUAGUUCGGUAUUUCUUUCGGGGAGUUUCUUAGCCCGCUGUGUUAGCACAGGGUGGAGCUUUCUAAGCCCUUCCUUGCUCUAGGUAUCAUCAGCUAAAUCUCCCCUGGCGAAGGCAACUGGGGAUGCACGCAUCUUACCUGCUUUGGGAACGAAUGGAAAAUAAAUCAGGAGUGCACACUUUGUGGUUUGCUUUUGGGGUGGGUUUUGGAUUUUUUGGGGGGGUCUUGCCUCAUCUGGAGUGGAAGCAGGACAAGAUCUUCAGUUCUUCACUCCGGGAAGGGCAUACGCUGCGGGCCGUGAGCCUGAACGUGAAGUUCAGCGUGCGAUCUGCUCGUCCCGCGGUGGCCACGCACACCAGAACAAGAAAAGCUUUUUCUCCUUUUCUUUCUUACGCGUGCCACAAACUACACUCGCCAUUUAUUUGUCUGUCCACAGAUGGUUUUAAAUAAACACCAAGUUGGUCUCGUCAUUAAUUUUUUUUUUUUUUUUACAGAAGCACAGUUCUGAAAAUCGCCGUGCAUCGAGGGGCUCCUGGCGGCUUCCUUACAAGACCCCGUUACAGACAGACCCUGGCUGGGCUCCACCGGGUCUGCCACCUCCUGGAAUAAAAAAAUAUGGCUUGUUCAGCGUCAUUUUACUCUCACCACCAUCCAGCGGGACAGCGCGAGCGCCACGCGGGAGCCUCCGCCCUGCCGAGGCCACCAGCGCUCGGAACCAGCGGCGGCCGCUACCGUCGGCUGGGAUUCGGCUUUCUUCCCCCCCCCGGCAUGGAAACCAAAGUCCGGCCUUUGCAACGGGACCCGCGUCUGUGACUCUGAACCCAACCUCCGUGCAUCCUCCUCUCCUGCUUUUCGUUUCUCCCUAGCGGUUUAAUCCACCUCCACAUUUGAGAAACUUAUCGACAAAUCAAAACAUUUCUCACGUUUUAUCGCUACUGAACAUAUUUACAGUUUUCCAGCACGCACACAGCUGAUCCGAAUGGUGAUGGGUAUGGCGAAGGUGAUCACAUGGUAGCUAUCAUAUUUGUUCUUUACGUCUUCAGAAACAAACAUAAAAUUCAGGUUCUCGUAUCUCGCUAUUUCAUUUAAAUGAGACUUUUUGUGUUUUGUUUUUUUUCAACCACACAGAUUUUUUUUUUUAUAAACAAAAACCGAUACAAUGUAUUAAAACACAUAAUAACAAGAGUCUACAUGUAAAAAUAUAACUUUUACAUACACAAUUCCAAAAUAAUGAUACGUUUGCCAUUUGUUGCAUAAAAUUUACAAAUGUAUUUUUCAUUACUCUAUAACUGGCAAAACAGGAGAACAGAUGGAACAUUUAGACCGUUUGAUGGAUUUAUGGCAUUUAUUCAGUGUUGAUAGGUGGAAAAUCUACUCGAACAGGGAGAUUUCAUUUAAAAUACAUGCCAGGUUUGUGUGGCUGUAAAAAUAGAAACUGGAAUUAGAGACAAAAGGAUGCUGACAAAUACUUAACUAGGAGCACUAUCUGUUAAUUGUACUGUACACCAAAGUCAAUCAGUAUUAAAGAUUCACUAUGGAAGUUGGUUCAAUUGUGCCCAGACUUCAAAGCUAGUUAUCUGAUGAGUUGCUGUGCCAUAGUUUGAUCUAUGUUACUAUUAAAUAUGUUAAGUAAAAACUUCAUUCAUACUGGCCAGAGAAAUACUGUACUACCACCCCUCCUCGAGAAAGUGCAACUUAAUGCUUUAGGACUCAUAAGGCUCGGUAUAAUGCUGCAUGAUGACUGAAAUUGGCAUUUUACAAAGAAAGGAGGAGGCAGCAAGUGGUCUACACUUAAAUAAUCCACUUCGAAACGAGAGAAGAACAACGCAAAGAAGUCAAUCGGAUCUGUCACACUACUUGCAGUUCCCCCCCCCCCCCAGGAUGGUUUCCCCUCCCUCCCUCCCGCCCCCCGUCCCCCCCGAAAUCUGACCAUGUAUUCAGAAACGCCUCACUGCACACUAUUUAGGCUACACACAUAGGUAACACUUUUAAUCGGGUCGUUAAAUCACAGCCACUUUGAUUCAUGUUAUGCUUCGGAUGAUAUAAACAUUGGAAGGCACAGUGG
ensembl:lncRNA